GACGUAAGAAGACGGCGGGACUGCUAACCGCAGAGUGAGGACUAGAUCCACCAGGUACAACUUUUGAAUAGACAGUAUGACUUACGUGCAGUACUGCUGUGGGAUGCCACAGUGAGAUCCAUAACGGGACAGAAAUCUGUUCUCAAGAUCAAUUAUGGUUUCACCUACUUUUUCAUCACGAGUCAAUGUGUCGUAGUCAUAGACCGAAAUUUUCAGAUCUUUUUCUUGAGUACAGCAGAGUUGCAUCACAGACAUUCCAAAGCCCGCAUGUCUCACCAGCCCAUUGUUAUCCUGGGGUUGAAGCUGCAAAGCUCUAACGAUAUAAAUUCGCACAAUACACUCCUGAGGCCCACUGUCUGGUAGCUCACGGAACUGGCGGGGAGGAGCUGGAGUAGUGGGAUCAUCAGGUGUCCCUUGAAAUAAUGCACUUCUUUGCUUUGUGAAGUAAUGGUUAUGGAAAAAGAGUAAAUCCAAAUCUUUGGGCCUUCUUUUAAGAUUAUCAAAACAAAUAAUGAGUCCUCUGGAUUUGGAUACUAUUGCUGAAGUGGUUCCAAGCCAGGAAUAAAAAACUGCAAGCUGAAAUAUUUUUACCUGUAAGCUUUUAUCAAAGGAUCCAUCUGACUUUGCUGACAGCUCGCUCAUUUAUCCAGUCCCACUUUAAGUGUGAUAAUGCAAAUGGCUGAACUGGGACAACUCAGGUAUUGACAGACUCUGAUAGAGCAAGACUGAACCUGGUGGAACUGGGGAAGGAUGGAGACCUCAUGAACUGGACCUGUCAAGGAUCAACCAUCCAUUCUCCUUCCCACUCCCAGCCUUUUGGGGGUAGAAAAUACUCUCUCUUCAGUUUGAUUUUUCCUGUGACAUCAGAAAACUUGUGGCGACCAACAAGUCCUGAGGUACCCCACUUUCCAAAAAGAAGAGCCUGAUUUUCAUACUGUUUGAGAAGAAAGAAUAAAACAGUACUUUAGGAACAAAGAAAUGAUUUCAGGAGGGAAAAAAAAAUAAAAAGGUUUAUUUAAUAGUUAUAAUUGAAGCAUUCUACUACUAUUUUAAAACUACUAAAAACUACUAUUUUAAACUAAAUAUCUCCUUCCCAUGUUGCCUUACACUACCAUCAUUAAUUUCUCUUUCUCCUGUGCUGUCUUGUAAAUGUAAACAAUGAUUCUGCUGCUAAAUGACACUAUAUUCUACAAUCAAAUUCCCACCAAGUUAAAGGUUUGUUAAAUAAAAUACCUUUACAUUAUUUGAACAAGAGUUUCUUCCAUUACCUAAAUGCACAAUUCUCACAUUCUUUUCCAUUUCAAAUCUCCUAUUUAUUCUCUCUUAUUUUGUAACAUGUAAAACUGAAAAUAAUUAGUCUUAUGGAAGCUAAUGGGGAAACAAUUCUGAUGUCAGCACAGCUUAUACACUCUAUUUCCCUUUCUGCUAAUGGGAUUAUCCUACUUUAUGAUGUUCUGUUCUUAUUGUAUAAAAUUGUUGGAUUGCUGUAUGAAGAGCAAUAGAUAUUCCAUAUCCUCAUAAACCCCUGCACUAAACAAAUAAUGGCUUUGAAAAAUCCACUGACUAUUUUAAGGCACUUAAUAUAGCACUACAUUUAGUAUUUUAGGCAUAGGUGCAAUGAUGACACAAGCCUCUGUAAAAAUGCCGUUUCCUCAACUGUUAUAGUGGAUUACAUGCAGCAUAAGGCAUGCAAAUUAGGCAAAGAUGCUUACAGCUUAUCAUUAUCACAGAGAAUCUCUUAUAUAUGCUGUGGGACUACUAGAAGUAUUUUUCUUUCAAUUUUUUUUUCCUUUUACCAUUCACAUGUUACAAUAUAGUCCUUUGUCAGUGAAAUCUACUGGUUUUGGCCAGUUUUUCCUGUAGCAGUUAAUUUUUGGCAAUUUUUCCGCUCCUACAAAAGAACUAUUAUGAGGCAAAACCGCUUGUAUCCAUGCAUCAUUUUAAAAGAACUGAAGAAUCAAUUAGAAUAUAUAAUAGUAUGCCAAAACAUUAUGUUCUAGAACUCAAUCUUAAUUACAAUGAUAAAUAUCUAAAACAAGUGUCUUUAAAUCACUGGAAUUAUCCAGAUUUUCACCUGAUUAACCAGUUCAGAUUCUGUUCUGCUGAAGUUCAUCUGGUAGGCACAAUGGACUUGAUUAUUAAUUGCCUUUAAUGUGGUCUACUUGUUUCAGCACUUUUUUCAGUGUAAUAAACACUACUCUCCCUUUCUGCCAGGCAUGCAAAACAAUUUCAGAGGAGCUCAAAUUGCAUAGAAUUCCUAAGGUGCAUAUCCAAGUUUAAUGCAAGAAAGCGAUGAUGGACAUACCAUUUCUGCAAAAACACUGAACGUUCCCUCGGCAAAGCUAUUGAACUUCUUUUCAACUGCACUGAGCCCAAGCCAAAUGUUAACUCGCAACUCCACAGGCAUUUUGACGUCUUUCGUCUUGUCCUGUGGGUACUGACACACACACACACACGCACACACACACACGCACACAAACAAGGUUAUUCUUUGUUGUGUUAUACAGGUGUUUUAACUUUGAGUACAAUCUAAACAAUAACACAGUUAAAUGAGAAAUAAUAAAUGAUUUAUCUCUUCUAGCAUGGCAUUUCCUCAGAAGGAGCUAAUAAACUAGUUCAGGAAGGAGACAUUCUUUAAAUGGUACCUGCCCUGGGCAUGUAAAAAACAAACAAAGAAAACAUUUGUAUAAUCCCUGUUCCUGUAUAUCCUCUUUCAAGUUUAAUCCAGUAAUGGGUUCUUAAUUAUGACAAUAACUUAAAGUUCACGUGGACGUUAGUGUUUCUUGUCAGGAGAGUCAUGCACAUGUAAGGAAGCAUCACAGUUUAGGGAUCUAAAGUUUAAGGAUUUUGAGAAAAAAAAAAUACCUUUAAGAAGAUUGUUUGUGUCUUUCCACAGUAUUUACCAGAUGAUUCGGGGCUUGUGGUGGAAUACAGCACUUGGUGUGCAGGAACACGAGCAUAAGCCAGUCUUUUCUCCCCUCGGAUCAUCCAUAUGAUUACAUCAGGCAUACUGUUUUGUGGCUGCGGAUUAUUUGCAGGCUUUGUCCAUACUUCUGUACGCUGGCUGCAAGUCUUCCAAAUUAAGUGAUGUUUUUUAAAAAUUUUCAAAGUAGAAGUGACAAAGAGAAAACAGACACUUCUACAAUGUCAUGAAAACCAAUUGUGAAAGAGCAUAACUCAGAUGAAAACUCAAGACACUGUUGAAUGUUCUGAAAAACUCUGUAAGAAGUUAAUUACUACAGCUUAUGACCUGAAGAAGUACUACAUACACCCUGCAGUCCCUGAACCUGCAGAGUGACUUGCAGAUCUGGAAGAAAAUAAAGGAAAAAACACAGCCACUUUGAAGAGGUAAAAAGCCUGCUGUAAUUCUACAAGGUUAUACUCCAACAUACAUUCUCAGUGAAAUUGAAUAACAAGUUAGAAUAAUAUAUUUAAGUAAAUCCUAAUUGCAGAGAGGCACGUUUACAUUUAUGGCAUCUAAAACUACUCUUCUAACUAGAUCAGAUAUUGCUUGAUCAGCAGUGAACAUUAUACCAGUUUGGGUUAGACAGCUACGUUUAAACUAACUGAAUCACUGACAUUGUGUGGUACUAACCUCUUCACUCAGUUGCAUUAAUUUAUCCAACCAAUCCUCAAUUUCUGUCAAAGUGGUUUUCACAUCGGUAGCUUCAUUCCUCAUCCUUCUUGCUGCUUCUCCAAUCUGUUUGAGAGACCUUAGGCGCAGCUUUUCUAUUUGAGUGUCAAGGACUGUAAUAUUAGAUUUGCCUUCUAUGAGGGGAAAUGGUUUACUGAAAAGUAGAAUUAUUAUCAUGGUUAACAACCUAAGUGAAUUUUAUUUAGCCAUACACUAAAUGAGUACAUGCAUACAGUGGCAAAAGACUGAGUGCUACCAAUUUCUGUAGCUGAAAACUACCAGAAUAGUCCUACAGCAUCCGUUUCUGCAGACAUUUCCAGCUGACCAAGUGUUUACAGUAAGUUGGAGAAAUAACGUGCUUACAUAAGAUGCACCAAUAUGGAAUAGGUUGAGGGAUGUGUUAUCAUGUAAUUGCUGCUUACCAAAUCAAGCAAAAUCUAUUCCCUAAAAUAUGCAGAUCAGAAAAGUAUUGUCUUUUAAUGUACGCCUCAAAGAUAAAAUUGGCACCUCCAGACCAAGAUUAGGUUUCCUUCCUUCACUGAAACCAUACAUUCUCAGAAAUUCAAUACACAAAUACAGCUUGUGUCUAUGACUAUGAGAGCUAUCUAACUCUCUGGCAACAAUGCAUGGAAAAAUCUCUAAAAGAAAUCUAUAACAAAACUUUUGUGACACCAGAGGGCAGGGUAACUAUUUAAUGGAAGUAAGCAAUAUUAUAGCAGUGCAAUAAAGCCAAGGAAAGAAGUGGAUUUUCUGAGGUGUUGGUUUGAAGAAAAAGGUAACUUUUCAAAUAUCCACGAUCCUUCAGUAGAGUUCACUAGAAGUUCUUUAAUGUGAUACUUAAAAAGAAAAUUCCAGAACACUGCAAAGUUUGGAAAGACUGACCCUUCUCUGACCUAGUUUUAAUAAGCCAUGCAUUUCUAAGGACUUUGACUCUGCAAAACCUUACCACUACUGCACCAAUUGCUAUAGUUAGUUCUACUAAUCUGAAUGCAAAUGCUGCCUGUCCAGGCUACACGUACUUACGCUUGGUUCAAAUGUACCAUACCCAAACUUUCAGAAAGUCAUCACAUUUUAAGUUUAAGUGGUGCACUGAAAACUCUCUCAAACUCCUAUUCAGUAAAACUUUAUCAUGGCAAAAAAAAGAUUGUUCUAUGAAUUCAGCCCAGGGCAUUUGCCUUUGACAAAGUUUCUGUGAGUUUCCUGAAAAUAAACUUCAGAGGGCACUGUAUCCUAUAAAGAACAGGAAACUAAUGUGGUUGGUAUGUCUAGGUGCUACUGUUAUUUAAUAAAACAAGUUUGAAUAGCAGUGCAGAUGUGUCAGAUGACCGAUUGUUAUCAAUACAAAUCUUAAAGUUUCUAUGCUCUCCAGAUGGCUCCAUGUGACAAUAGCUUGCCCUUCACAUUUUGCAUUCCUAAAGCAUGUCAGUUCUUUCUCUGCUCUCUUCUGUCCAGUAGGAGGUUUAGAUUUUGAGAUAAGUUAUCUACCAUACAAUUAUUUGCUAAUGUAAAGUGAUCUUCACCCUAUUUGCUUUUUCCUCUGUUCACUUCUGCUUUUGUUCUAUAGCUUGAUGAAUUAGUUCUUCUAUAAUUGCAUAUUUUCUGUUAUUUACUCUAACAACUAAUAAUUAUUCUAUCAUUUUCCAUCUCCCUUCCUCAUCUACUUCUGUUAAUGCCUCUUUCUCAUACAAUUCUCUCUUCACCAUUUAGAAUUUGUUUUCCUUCUAAACCUUAACUGAUGACUCCCAUUGCCUUUUCUGACCACAUUACACAUACGUUGACUAAAGGAUCACUCAAAAAUCUUAUCUCUACAGCCCUUAAGCUCCAAACAGCUUAAAAAAGCUUUAAGAUAAAGUGGUAGAAAGACAGAAAGAUCAGAAAUUCACAAUUCCACAUUUGCAAAACAGUUCUGCUUUAGAUUCCUCCCCUCCUCCCCCUCCCACCCCAAGAGAUGCUGCUUUAUUACCAUCAUUGACCAAGAUAAAGGAGAAUAAUAAACCUAGAUGGAUGACUUCACUGGCAAUAUCUGUGAUGUUUUAGUACUUUCAGAAACUUUUGGAAUUCCAGUUUUCAAGUCAGUUCAUAUGGGGAAUGAGUUUUAUAGUCUUUAGAAUUUGUUCUCUGACUCAGUAAAGGCAACAAAGAAGAUUAAAAGCAAGCCUAGAAUGAUAAGGCAAGAGAUAAAAAAGGUUCUUUUACCUUACAUCAUCUGUAAGUUCGUCAAUCAGCUUCAGCCACAUCUCAGCUAAUCUGUUUUCAGAAAUUUUAGCCUGCAUUCCUGAUUUUAAGUUGGUUAAGUUGGAUUGCUGAGGAAUUUAAAAGAAAAGGAUUUGCUCUUAGAAAUUUGAAUUGCAGUAUUAUAGUCAAUAUAACUUUCAAGACUUUAUUUUCAUCUUAUUUUAAAGCCCAAAUAAAAAAAAUAAAGACUAAGAUAUUCAAACUUGAUUCCAAUGUAACAUGACUUUUCAUAUGUUCUUUCACAUUAUAUUUAUUACUACUUCACAUUGCACCUAACUUCAGAGCAAAUACAGUACUACAAACUCAACACUCCCAAAUGAAGAGGACCCUUCCAUCCUGUAGGAAUUCCCUGCAGAUUCAAGCAGCAUUGGGCCAUACCAGAAUACACAUCUAUGAUUAUCAGUGCCAUUUUUCACACUGUUCUACAUUUAACUUUGAACAGGAAAGGAGAACAAAAAUUAUGUUCCAUAAUUUGCUCAAAAUGACACUUUUCAUUACACAUCCAAGAAAAGAGACAGACCAACAAAAAAGAAAGCUCUUAAGUAACUUACCAGUCUUUCAACCAUGUUCAGGAUUACAUUCACAGGGUCUAAUCUAUGACUUAUGUCCUCCCAAAAAGAAGUCAGUGUUACCACUGGCUUUGUGUUUGCCCAUGGCAGAUAGUAAUAAUAAUUA